GAGGAGGAGCCCGCGGAGUGCCUCGGAGACGAUACCGGUCCCUUUACUCUCGGUCGGGGAAGCCGGUCCUGCCACACCUCAGGGCUGGAAACGGCUUUCUAGUUAUCGUUUUUCUGGAGGCUAUAAGAUCCCCAAGCGUGGGAAUCGGAGGGGAGAUAAUAAAACUAGGUGGAGCUUGAGCAGAAGUGAGAAGACGGUGAAGGUCUUUUUAAAAAAUUUAACAGGUGAGAAACAUCGGAGGAGUUAAUCAGCCGGGACCAUGCCCAAGACACAGGUCAAGAGAGAAGAGUCAAGAGUUCAUUUCCCAGCAGGGACCUAAACUCCCACAUCUGUGAAAUGUUCACAAACGUGGCUUUUGGAUUCUCAUCCUAUAUAAGGAAGAGUGGGAAGAAUCAGAUCUUAUAAAACAAAUAAAAACCCUGAGAGCUUUUUCCAUUUUUGUUAAGGACUAAGCCACUUCUGUCAUAUAUUACCUAAUUUUGAAAUCCUUGAGUUUUUCUGCAUUCAGUUUGGCUGUUAAGAAGUCUGGAAGUUUUCGCCCCAACUGAUGAAAACUGUACAAUAAGCACUCCACAUAACUGAACUGCAGCUUGGGCUCCUCAUUACCAGCAUUCUCCCCAUUUUCUGCUUCUUCUGGAGGGAGAGGCAUAUACUCCUAAGGAGGAGAGAGCAGAUGUUUGCAGUCUGUUCUAAAGACUCUUGCUAUAAAGAGAUACCUGUGUAAUUGUAAAGCAUGAUUUUAAGACACAGAACACUAGAAACAGACUAGAAAUUGAGCUAGGACCUAUUGGACCAAGGAUCUGACACAUCAGCUGUCAUGAACCUAUGUUACAGCUGCCACCACUAAUAUCCAAAGUGGAAAGAGCUAACAUUGGGCAGUAAGCACCAAUGUUCAAUGUACACCAAGACUACAUUCUUAAUUAAAAUUUUUUUUCUAAAGUC
rnacentral:lncRNA from 1 species